CCUCCUUUAAAGAAACCGGAAUAAGGGGUGAAAGCGCCCGCACAAUCUGCCUCAUCAUCGUAUAGAUAAACCGCGGGUCUGUAGCUCAGUUGGUUAGAGCGCACCCCUGAUAAGGGUGAGGUCGGAAGUUCAAAUCUUCCCAGACCCACCACCUUCGCGCUUGUAGGAGCAACAAGGGAACAAGGGGCCAUAGCUCAGAUGGGAGAGCACCUGCUUUGCAAGCAGGGGGUCGGCGGUUCGAUCCCGCCUGGCUCCACCANGCGAAUAAAACCGGA
rnacentral:tRNA from 1 species